GGCUAGGUAGUUCAGUUGGUAGAACGGUGGAUAAACUAUCCAUGCGUCUCCGGUUCAAGUCCGGACUUUGCCA
rnacentral:tRNA from 2 species